UACAGAGGUCUCAAGCGUUGUUCGGAUUCAUUGGGCGUAAAGGGUGUGUAGGUGGCGCCGUAAGUCGGGUGUGAAAUUUCGGAGCUUAACUCCGAAACUGCAUUCGAUACUGCGGUGCUUGAGGACUGGAGAGGAGACUGGAAUUCAUGGUGUAGCAGUGAAAUGCGUAGAGAUCAUGAGGAAGACCAGUGGCGAAGGCGGGUCUCUGGGCAGUUACUGACACUGAGACACGAAGGCCAGGGGAGCAAACGGG
rnacentral:rRNA from 1 species